UGGGUAGUCCGUACGAGCGCACCCUAUCCUUAGUUGCCAGCGAGUAUGUCGGGAACUCUAGGGAGACUGCCGGUGACAAACCGGAGGAAGGUGGGGACGACGUCAAGUCAUCAUGGCCCUUAUGGGCAGGGCUACACACGUGCUACAAUGGCCGGCACAGAGGGCUGCGAAGUCGCAAGGCGGAGCGAAUCUCAGAAAACCGGUCGUAGUCCGGAUUGCAGUCUGCAACUCGACUGCAUGAAGUUGGAAUCGCUAGUAAUCGCGGAUCAGAAUGCCGCGGUGAAUACGUUCCCGGGCCUUGUACACACCGCCCGUCACACCAUGGGAGUGGGCUGUACCAGAAGUAGGUAGUCUAACCUUCGGGAGGACGCUUACCACGGUGUGGUUCAUGACUGGGGUGAAGUCGUAACAAGGUAGCCCUAGGGGAACCUGGGGCUGGAUCACCUCCUU
rnacentral:rRNA from 1 species